rnacentral:lncRNA from 1 species
UUUUUUAGUAAUCUCUACACCCAGUGUGGGAGUCGAACCCACAACCCCAAGAUCAAGAGUCACACAGUCUCCUGCCUGAGCCUGCCAGGUGCCCCAAGAUGUUUUUCAGUUAAGUGAAUGGAUAAACCAACUGUGAUAUAUCCAAACAAUGGAAUGCUUCCCAUAAAAGAAAAUGAGCUAUUAAGCCAUGCAAAGUCAUGCAUGAAUCUUUUUUUGAAUUAAAAAAAAAAGAUUUAUUUAUUUACUUAUUCAUGAGAGACACAGAGAGGCAGAGACAUAACAGAGGGAGAACCAGGCACCCUGUGGGGAGCCUGAUGCAGACCUGAUCCCAGGACCUCAGGAUCAUGACCCAAGCCAAAGGCAGAUGCUCAACAACUGAGCCACCCAGGUGCCCCGACAUGCAUGAAUCUUAAAGAUAUAUUUCUUUUUUUUAAAGAUUUUAUUUAUUUAUUCAUGAGAGACGCACACACAGAGAGAGGCGGAGACACAGGCAGAAGGAGAAGCAGGCCCCAUGCAGGGAGCCUGACGUGGGAUCCCGGAUCUCCAGGAUCACACCCUGGGCCGAAGGCGGUGCUAAACCGCCGAGCCACCGGGCUGCCCAAAAUAUAUUUCUUUAUUAAUUCUUUUUUAAAAUUUAAAUUCAAUUUGCCAACAUAUAUGUAUAACAUAUGUUAUAACACCCAGUAGUCAUCUCAUCAUAUGCCCUCCUUAAUGCCCAUCACCCAGUUACCCUAUCCUCCCACCCACCUCCCUUCUGCAACCCUUUGUUUAUUUCCCAGAGUUAGAAGUCUCUCAUGGCUUGUCUUCCUCUCUAUUAAACAUAGAUUUCUAUGUGUAAGAAGUCAGUCUGAAAAGACUACAUUCUGUAUAAUUCCAUUUAUGUGACAUUCUAGAAGAGGCAAAACUAUAGUGACAGUAAAAAUAUCAAUGGUUUCCAGGAAUUUGAGGAAGGGGAAGGGGUUGACUAGGUGAAGCAUGGGAAUAUUUUAGUGCAGUACAACUAUUUUCCAUGAUACUGUAAUGGUGGAUACUUCACACAUUUUUCAAAAUGUAUAGAACUUUACAGUACAAAGAGUAAAACUUAAUGUAUGCAAUUAAAACAAAAUGUCACUUAGAAGAUCAAGGAAUACAAGGUCAGAAUGUAGAAUAUGAAAAAAGAAUCUAACUAUAUUACAAAUGUAUGAAAUAAUCUUACAGAAUAGGUAGGGGCAGAGGUACAAACUUAAGUAACUUCUGUAAAUGAAUAAUGUCUGGAAAAUUAUAGGCAGAAGGGGCUAUACAUAAUCACUCCCUUCUGGCUAAUACUGUUGUUGCCCAUGAAGCUACAUGGUAGCAAUUCUGAAAUCAUUAUACAUGUAUACUGGAAUUGAACAAUUAAAUAACCAGACAAUGGAUUGUGGGAGCUAGGUUUCUCACUGUUGGGAGUGGGAGGGUACAGAGAAGCAAAGGGAAGAGGCUAAAAUGAUCCAUAUGGUAAAGGAUAAAAAUUGGAGACAUCAGUAUGUGCUCAUGUUUAGUGUAAUACAGAUACAUUUAUAAAUCUUUAUAUAUGUUGCUAAAUUAAUUAAAUAAGGAGGCCAUUAGACUGAUGCAGCUCUAAUGCCAAACCAAAAUCUAAGCCUGUGAAUGUCUCAAGGUUACCAAAUCCAAACGUUAAGGACAAUCAAUUACAAACAGCCAAGGCUUUAAGCUACAGGCCCCAACCACCUCCAGUUUGUUGCUACCCAAUUCAAAAGGAUUUUUGCUCAAACUUCCAAAUUUUUUAAUAUUCUUGAGUUUAUCUUCCAACAGCACUCAUGCCAGAAGAG